UGGGGAAUAUUGGACAAUGGGCGAAAGCCUGAUCCAGUCAUGCCGCGUGUGUGAAGAAGGUCUUCGGAUUGUAAAGCACUUUAAGUUGGGAGGAAGGGCAGUAAGCGAAUACCUUGCUGUUUUGACGUUACCGACAGAAUAAGCACCGGCUAACGCUGUGCCAGCAGCCGCGGUAAUACAGAGGGUGCAAGCGUUAAUCGGAAUUACUGGGCGUAAAGCGCGCGGAGGUGGUUCGUUAAGUUGAAUGUGAAAGCCCCGGGCUCAACCUGGGAACUGCCUCCAAAACUGGCGAGCUAGAGUAGGGCAGAGGGUGGUUGAAUUUCCUGUGUAGCGGUGAAAUGCGUAGAUAUAGGAAGGAACACCAGUGGCGAAGGCGACCACCUGGGCUCAUACUGACACUGAGGUGCGAAAGCGUGGGGAGCAAACAGG
rnacentral:rRNA from 1 species